UAUACGGAGAGUUUGAUCCUGGCUCAGGACGAACGCUGGCGGCGUGCCUAACACAUGCAAGUCAAGGUAGCGAUACACUUCGGUGUAUCAAUGCCUGGCGCACGGGUGAGUAACACGUGGGUAACCUACCCUUUGGUCUGGGAUAACAUCUGGAAACGGAUGACAAUACCAG
rnacentral:rRNA from 1 species